CCCCGGGCGGCCUGAGGGAGAGCAGGGAGUCGAUGCGGAACCUGGAGGCAGACACCUCCAUCUCCGGCCGGACUCAGAGAAAAGUGAGGGAGCUGGUACAGAGCCCUGAGGGACUCCUCCUCCUCUUCUGAUGACCACAGCUCAGUCCAGACUGUACGUCCCCAGACCCUGAACUCCUCUCCUGGACACUGAGUCCGACUGAUGAGCCCUGAACGCCCGCAUACGAGCCUCCUGG